rnacentral:rRNA from 1 species
GACAGAGGUGCCAAGCGUUAGGCGGAAUCACUGGGCGUAAAGCGUCUGUAGGUGGUUUAAUACGUCAACUGUUAAAUCUUGAGGCUCAACCUCAAAAUCGCAGUCGAAACUAUUAGGCUAGAGUAUAGUAGGGGUAAAGGGAAUUUCCAGUGGAGCGGUGAAAUGCGUAGAGAUUGGAAAGAACACCGAUGGCGAAGGCACUUUACUGGGCUAUUACUAACACUCAGAGACGAAAGCGAGGGUAGCAAAUGGG